UCUGUGUUGAUCUUGCUGGGAGCUGCAGACUGGAGCUGUUCCUACUCAGCCAUCUUGCCCAGGUUCCCCCCAUUCUGCCAAUUUUAAGGGAACACUCACCCUCCCUGGCUUCCAGGCAGCUGGGCUGGCUGGAAUUUGCCCUCUUGCCCCGGCUUCCCCAGUGACUUAUGGGAGGCAGAGGCCCAAUCAAGGUUGUGUCCAGGCACCUAAGGAGUGGGGCAGGGAAGGCCGCUGCUCUGGUAUAACCAAGCCUUAUGGCAUUCCUCUAUCUAGCUGUUCAUCGACAAAUGCUUAAUGAAUACCUUCUCUGGGCCAGAAAGCAGGCUGGAGUCUGUGGAUAUGGCGAAAAGCAAGAGUAGACCCACUUCCUGGUACAGUCUGGGGU